rnacentral:rRNA from 1 species
GGAUGAACGCUGGCGGCGUGCUUAACACAUGCAAGUCGAACGGAAAGGCUCCUGCUUGCAGGGGUACUCGAGUGGCGAACGGGUGAGUAACACGUGGGUGAUCUGCCCUGCACUUCGGGAUAAGCCUGGGAAACUGGGUCUAAUACCGGAUAGGACGAUGGUUUGGAUGCCAUUGUGGAAAGUUUUUCGGUGUGGGAUGAGCUCGCGGCCUAUCAGCUUGUUGGUGGGGUAAUGGCCUACCAAGGCGGCGACGGGUAGCCGGCCUGAGAGGGUGGACGGCCACAUUGGGACUGAGAUACGGCCCAGACUCCUACGGGAGGCAGCAGUGGGGAAUAUUGCACAAUGGGCGCAAGCCUGAUGCAGCGACGCCGCGUGGGGGAUGACGGCCUUCGGGUUGUAAACUCCUUUCGCUAGGGACGAAGCUUUUUGUGACGGUACCUAGAUUAGAAGCACCGGCUAACUACGUGCCAGCCGCCGCGGUAA